GGCCCCAGUAUGCAGUAAUCAAACUAUCCCACUGGGUGGCAGAUUUCCAAGUUUUUCCAAUUCCUCUUAAACUCAGCUUGAUCCCUGAAAGCAUUUCCUGAUAUUAAAUGAAUAACAGUACAGUGAAAGCAGCACUGGCAUAACUGUCGCAUUCAUGACAAACAGAUGUCUUCACAAGUUGCUGUUUUAAUGUUGACUGUGGCUCCCAUACACUCCAUGAGUGCCGUUUCAAUGUUAAGGAGUGUGAAGAGCCUGUCCCCAUAACUCACUGAUAAGAGACGCAAUCUCCCGUCAUUGCCAGUGAAAUGUUCUGUUAUCUCAUGCCAAGUAAUAAGAAUCAACCAUUUAUCAUCAUUCAAAACAAGAUGCCUCUCCUCCACGGGUACCAUGCAAACCCAUGCCUACUAAGAACAACUUCUUGGACUCAAGGCAAACAAAGGAGAAAAAGAAGGUCUGUGUCCACUGAGAGGUCACUGGGGUUGGGUUAGGCCCUGUCAGCAUUGUACCCUCUGUUUAAGUCAUUACAAUAUUGCCAUUGUGGGCAAUCAUGAUGACAAAGCAGAGCAGCAUCAAGGGAUCUAGAUGCAUGUCUUUGUAUUUUUAUGUACAGUCUCUCUGUGCGGUCACAUUCGCACACACUGACACUACUGGCCUUUCCAUAUUUCCCAGAUUUUUCUUAGAGUCAUUUCAGACAACAGAUGGGUUAUGAUGAUAAGUGAGACUGAGAAGUGAUAGUUUUCUUCUCUCCGCCCACAUGGUAAUAUUUCAUAAUUGUUGUUGUAAGUGGAGCUACUCUAUACACACCCAAACCGUUUAAGGAGGCCCCUAAGAUCAUUUGGAUUCUCAAGACUUGGUUUGCCUGUUGGAACUUUCCUAGCAUCGUGUUGUUUUCAUGCGGUCACAGUGCAUGAAAAUAUGGUGGACGUAGUUAUAUAUUUUGGACCUCUCUUCAUCACCUCAGGAGCCUAUUAGAUAUUAUCUUGAGUGUCAAAGAAGUUUUGCACACAAACUCAAAGACAAAGCUCUGAUGCGUGGAGCCUCCAGACAAUGAAAGCAGAUCGAGAGAAGUGAAGAUCUACUCACGACAGAAACACAGAAGAACAGAUG